GUUCAGGCUCUUUCACACUGCAGCGCCACCUCAGGUCAAACUAUGUCAUGCUCUAAGCACAACACCAGAACAACCCCAGGUGCCCAUAAUUUGCGGCCGCAGAAGUACGCGAAGUACCGGUACUUCAGAAUCUAGCUAGCCUUACAAAAAAAGGAGUGAACAUAAAAGGAAGUAACAUGUUGUGUCAGGGAGAGAAAAGAACGAGAGCUAACUUCACUCAGAGAUGUAGAAAAAAGAGAAAGAAGCCAGGCUGUAUUUAAAGAUGUCUUGAAAACAAGUUUUAACAAAGUCCUGGAGACGUGCCCAAUGCUGGAGGACCUCCUGCUUUACCCCUGGCUCAGAUAAACUCAUCUCUGACACACACACACACACACACACACACACGCUGAAUUCACAUCUUGCCAUUAAAUGUGAUAGAGUAACCAACUUUCUUUCUUUCAGAAAAAAAGAAAAUUGAGAGAUUCACAGUUCUGUUUGCAUCAGUCUAUCAGAUGAAUCCCCUCCAAGUCCAAUAUUUACAUCAGUUACAGUGAUAAUGCUUGGUGUAUACUUUCAGCCACAGCAGUAGAAAGUCAGGAAUGAAUCUCACUGAAAUUGUAGCUGCAUUUGCUAUUUAAUUUAAUUGGAAUAAAUACAGUUAACAACUCCUUUAUAAAAAUCUGUUAUAUUUGAUCUCACAUAGCCAGUACACACACUCUGUUUUUAUCCCUUUAUCUUUCACUGGUCUGUCGUUUGAUAUAACAAGAAAGUUAAUAUCAUGGCUGCUCUGGCAGAUGUGUGGAGUGAAGAGAGAUAGGAGCCAAAUGCAGAGGCUGACGAGGACUUAAACUAAAAAUGUGCCUUUUAUCGAGGCAGCACAAAACUACAAACAAAAAUGCAGGAAUAUAAAGACUAAAGUAAGAAAAACUAAACGGGGAGGGAACUAGAAACAAAUAUAAAGAAACUAAAGAUCUGAGACGUGGAACACAACAAAUGAUAACCUGGAACAUGGGACAUGUCAUGGAUGAUACACAGACAACCCAGCAGCAAACAGAGGAAGACAAUGGGCUUAAAUACACAGAGGGAUAAAUGAGGGAAUAAGACACAGGAGGAGAGCACAGCUGGGAGAAAUCACAAACAACGAGACCAGUGGGAGGAAAACUGAAAACACUAACAUAGCAUACGAAACUAUCAAAGUAAAACAGCAAACAAGAGACAUUUACAAAGACACAGAGUUGAAACUGAGACAUGACUGACUGGGGAGAAAUGGGGAACAUGGAAACAAGAGUGACUAGACAUGACACGUGGGACACGGGCAAGGCAAAGUAACAGAAACCUAAAUAGAAUAGAAUAGAAUAGAAUUCAACUUUAUUGUCAUUGCACAUGUCACAGGUACAGGGCAACGAAAUGCAGUUUGCAUCCAUCCAGAAGUGCUUUAGCCAUGAUAUAGAUAU